rnacentral:rRNA from 1 species
UACGUAGGGGGCUAGCGUUGUCCGGAAUCAUUGGGCGUAAAGAGCGUGUAGGCGGUUCGGUAAGUCCGCUGUGAAAGUCCAGGGCUCAACCCUGGAAUGCCAGUGGAAACUGCCGAGCUAGAGUCCGGAAGAGGCGAGUGGAAUUCCUGGUGUAGCGGUGAAAUGCGCAGAUAUCAGGAGGAACACCAAUGGCGAAAGCAGCUCGCUGGGACGGUACUGACGCUGAGACGCGAAAGCGUGGGGAGCGAGCAGG